CUCUGAUCAUCCCUACACUAGCUUGAAUAAUCCAAACAAUAAAAGCUUAAAGAGGAGAACUUGAUAGAACAAAGAGUUAGAAUUAAUGAUUCCUGAUCUCUUAACAUUUAGUAAUUACAUUAAUAUUAAACAAAACCACCAACAACUAAACAAACAAACGAACAAAAAAACUAGGAGCAUUUGUGACUUCUGUUAGCUGUAGAGCAGAAAAAAUAAUUCCAUCAGCCUCUCAAAAGAUGAUCCUAAAGCUUUGAUAGUUCUGUGUGCUUCAGUCUGACAUACAUUCUUGUGUGUUCAUGUGUGGACUGAGGCAAUGGGACACUGCAGAGUGCUGGCACUAAGCUGACAGCUGCACGCUGAUACCCUGUAAAUGGGUGAUUAACUCAAAUUCUUCUUUCGAGAGCUCUUUAAAAAGACGCCUCCAGCUGGUCAGAGCACUCGUUGCAGUCUAGAAGACAUUUAGAAUGAAAUGCCUGCUCUGUAACUCAACAAAGAUUUACAUGCCGUUAUUCCCUAUCGAGGCUGAACAUCAUUGUCACCACCUGCAAAAAAGUAUCCAGCUGCUGGCUAUAUCUUGAACAUGCAUGUAAGGAGGAAAACUUCCUUACAGAGAGGAUCAAGAUAUUAGUUACUCUACAACAAGGACGGUGAGAUUAAAGCCUGAGCUUUUAACUUCAGUAAGACACGUAGGCUUGAGGGAGGAUGUGUUAUUGAAUGCCUGGAUCUGAGAGAGAACAAGUAUUACAUCCUCACUCAGUCAACACAACCCCAAGAGGAAUCUGUCACAGAGAGACAGAUUGACCAGCAGUACAGACUGCAUCAAGGGCAGCCUGCCUCUUUUACCUCAUGCAAAACUUCUUGGGAGCAUGAUGAGAGCAUCCUCAGGGCUCAGGCUGACUCCCGGAGAAGAAGGAGUUAA
rnacentral:lncRNA from 1 species